UACGGAGGAUGCAAGCGUUAUCCGGAAUGAUUGGGCGUAAAGCGUCCGCAGGUGGCUGUGUAAGUCUGCUGUCAAAGAGCAAAGCUCAACUUUGUAAAGGCAGUGAAACUACACGGCUAGAGUGCGUUCGGGGCAGAGGGAAUUCCUGGUGUAGCGGUGAAAUGCGUAGAGAUCAGGAAGAACACCGGUGGCGAAGGCGCUCUGCUAGGCCGCAACUGACACUGAGGGACGAAAGCUAGGGGAGCGAAUGGG
rnacentral:rRNA from 1 species